rnacentral:rRNA from 1 species
CAAUAGCGUAUAUUAAAGUUGUUGCGGUUAAAAAGCUCGUAGUUGGAUUUCUGCCGAGGACGACCGGUCCGCCCUCUGGGUGAGCAUCUGGCUCGGCCUGGGCAUCUUCUUGGAGAACGUAUCUGCACUUGACUGUGUGGUGCGGUAUUCAGGACUUUUACUUUGAGGAAAUUAGAGUGUUUCAAGCAGGCAACCGCUCUGAAUACAUUAGCAUGGAAUAACGCUAUAGGACUCUGGUCCUAUUGUGUUGGUCUUCGGGACCGGAGUAAUGAUUAAGAGGGACAGUUGGGGGCAUUCGUAUUUCAUUGUCAGAGGUGAAAUUCUUGGAUUUAUGAAAGACGAACUUCUGCGAAAGCAUUUGCCAAGGAUGUUUUCAUUAAUCAAGAACGAAAGUUGGGGGCUCGAAGAUGAUUAGAUACCAU